GGUGGGUGUGGUGGCGCACGCCUGUCAUCCCAGCAACUUGGGAGGCUGAGGCAGGAGGAUCAAAAGUUCAAGGCCAGCCUCAGCAACUUAGCAAGGCCCUAAGCAACUCAGAGAGACCCUGCCUCUA
rnacentral:sRNA from 1 species